rnacentral:lncRNA from 12 species
ACUCCAUCCUGAUGACUUUGGCAUUUGUGUGAAACCACAGAGUGGUAGAUGCAAGAGGCAGGAUUGCAAGCUCUGAAGUUGUGGCAGCUUCUGGAGUCUUUCCACUCUGGUUGUGGAAAACCCUGGUCUAAUGAGGCUGCACAAGACCAAAUGCAUCCCCCAUCUUGGUCCCCUGGGUCAUCAGAGCACUUCUUUGCUUUGUUCCUCCUGAUGUUUAAUCCAACCUGCUGUGCAAAGGAGGCUGCUCUAAUUGUGUUUGCUUCCUACACAAAUUUCUGGGGUAAACAAAGGUUUUGCCACACUUUUCACUAUGCUAGAAGUUUUAUCAAAACACUUCCUCAACUAAUGACUUUUUCUCCCCCA